AUCUGACCUCAAAUCAGGCGGGAUUACCCGCUGAACUUAA
rnacentral:rRNA from 1 species